UUUGUUUCAUUCUCCCAUAGGCAUUACAAUAAGAACAAAAAAAAAAUAGAAAUAGAAAAGAUGGUAGGGGAAGAAUACGCCUAUGCGCUCGGCUUCGGCUUGCAGAAGCCAACACCCUCUACACAUGUCUGACCCCACUGCGACCAUCGAUCCUUACCUAAGCUUGUGGGCCCCAUGGUGGCCUCGGCCUUUAUGUCGGCUACCAAUCUCCUUCGGCCACCGCAUCCUGGGAUUGACCUCCACUGUAAGCUUUAGCCAUUGACCCCAAGG
rnacentral:lncRNA from 1 species